rnacentral:rRNA from 1 species
UACGUAGGGCGCAAGCGUUGUCCGGAAUUAUUGGGCGUAAAGAGCUCGUAGGCGGCCUGUUACGUCUGCUGUGAAAUCCCGGGGCUUAACCCCGGGCGUGCAGUGGAUACGGGCAGGCUGGAGGCAGGCAGGGGAGAACGGAAUUCCCGGUGUAGCGGUGAAAUGCGCAGAUAUCGGGAGGAACACCGGUGGCGAGGGCGGCGAUCUGGGUAGAUACUGACGCUGAGGUGCGAAAGCGUGGGGAGCAAACAGG